CAGCCGCCGCGGUAAUACAGAGGGUGCGAGCGUUAAUCGGAUUUACUGGGCGUAAAGCGUGCGUAGGCGGCUUCUUAAGUCGGAUGUGAAAUCCCUGAGCUUAACUUAGGAAUUGCAUUCGAUACUGGGAAGCUAGAGUAUGGGAGAGGAUGGUAGAAUUCCAGGUGUAGCGGUGAAAUGCGUAGAGAUCUGGAGGAAUACCGAUGGCGAAGGCAGCCAUCUGGCCUAAUACUGACGCUGAGGUACGAAAGCAUGGGGAGCAAAAAGGAUUAGAUACCCCAGUAGUCCCUGUCUCUUAUAC
rnacentral:rRNA from 1 species